AUUGAACGCUGGCGGCAGGCUUAACACAUGCAAGUCGAACGAGUGGCGGACGGGUGAGUAAUGUCUGGGAAACUGCCCGAUGGAGGGGGAUAACUACUGGAAACGGUAGCUAAUACCGCAUACCAUCGGAUGUGCCCAGAUGGGAUUAGCUAGUAGGUGGGGUAACGGUUCUCAUAGGCGCCGAACCCUAGCUGGUCUGAGAGGAUGACCAGCCACACUUGAACUGAGACACGGUCCAGCCUCCUACGGGAGGCAGCAGUGGGGAAUAUUGCGCAAUGGGGGCAACCCUGACGCAGCCAUGCCGCGUGAAUGAAGAAGGCCUUCGGGUUGUAAAGUUCUUUCUGUAGCGAGGCGUUAACUACAGAAGAAGCACCGGCUAACUCCGGGCCAGCAGCCGCGGUAAUAC
rnacentral:rRNA from 1 species